UACGUAGGGUCCGAGCGUUGUCCGGAAUUAUUGGGCGUAAAGAGCUCGUAGGCGGUUUGUCGCGUCUGCUGUGAAAUCCCGAGGCUCAACCUCGGGCCUGCAGUGGGUACGGGCAGACUUGAGUGGUGUAGGGGAGACUGGAAUUCCUGGUGUAGCGGUGGAAUGCGCAGAUAUCAGGAGGAACACCGGUGGCGAAAGCGGCUUCCUGGCCCGACAUUGACGCUCAUGUACGAAAGCGUGGGGAGCAAACAGG
rnacentral:rRNA from 1 species